GCAUUGAAUCGUGAUGGGAAAUUAAUGUGAAAAUCAUUAGCUGUGCCUGCAACGGUUAAAGUCCGAGUGCCAUCCAAUGUAGUCCGCUGUUGAAUGAGGGCCAGGGAAAGUCUAAUUCUACAAUUUUAAU
rnacentral:ncRNA from 1 species